rnacentral:rRNA from 1 species
CGUCUAUAUACGUAUAGCAUAUCAAUAAGCGGAGGAAAAGAAACUAACUAAGGAUUCCCUCAGUAACGGCGAGUGAAGCGGGAAGAGCUCAAAUUUGAAAUCUUCAAGGUUCUACCUUGACGAAUUGUAGUUUAAAGAAGUGUUUUCUGUUGAAGUUUUGGUUAAAGUUCUUUGGAAUAGGACAUCAUAGAGGGUGAGAAUCCCGUAUUUGACCAUUAUUUCCAACUUUGUGAUACACUUUCAAAGAGUCGGAUUGUUUGGGAAUGCAGUCCAAAAUGGGUGGUAAAUUUCAUCUAAAGCUAAAUACUGGCGAGAGACCGAUAGCGAACAAGUACCGUGAGGGAAAGAUGAAAAGAACUUUGAAAAGAGAGUUAAACAGUACGUGAAAUUGUCAAAAGGGAAGCGUUUGACACCAGUGUUGUUUUCUCGAAAAUCAAUUAAAAAUGCUGGAUUUUGUGUUGUAUUGACUUUAUCAGCUUUCUGCACUUUUUUCCUGUCUUUUUUAAUGCACUUUUCGUUUAACAAGUCAACAUCAAUUUCUUUUGUUGUAAAAGAGUCAUUGGAAGGUGGCUUUCUUUUCGGAGAAAGUGUUUAUAGCCUUUGACUUCUGCAAUCGGAGAGAUUGAGGUCUGCAGCGUAGAUCCUUCGGGGUUAGAUACAUUUGUGCUAAGCUAUAGCCUUUCAUAGACAACUUGUUGACUAUGAUCAGUCAUGUAGCUUACUCGCUUAUGCUAUUUUACCUACGCUUAGGAUGUUGACGAUCAGCUGAGCGCG